rnacentral:misc_RNA from 1 species
ACAAUCCUUGAAGCAGGCCUAGCCUGUUUCUUAUUACACCAUACCUUUGUGAUAACUUUACCGUAUCUAGCGGGUUAAAAACCGAAAGGGGUUGCAAGACCACCCGCAGUUUAUUUAAACAACCGUUUAAUGAUUAUGACAUUCAAAAUUGUUUAAAAAUUAAA